rnacentral:lncRNA from 10 species
UUACAAUUAAGCUGAUAAAGAAAAUGUAACAAUGUUUUCUCGCAGCACUGAUUCCAUGAACAGAGAUUCAUGCCACUGUGUAGUCUGCAACAAAAGAAAAAAAACUUCAAAGGGUAGACAACAGCCAAAUACCGAUCAACGGCAAUGCAGGAAAGACACACACAGAGAUCCAAUAUUGGCUGGAAUGCUGACUAUAAUCACAAAGAUGUAAACAAUGGGAAACAAAUAGUGAUCCAGGUCAUGCUGUUCUUCAAUACAUGUGCUGUUCAUUUUUUCCUUUUUAAGGUAGCAAUUAUAUUAGUUCUUAGAAAGUAAACAGAGAAGUCUUGUC